rnacentral:tRNA from 1 species
GGGCCUGUAGCGCAGUGGUCGACGCGCCCUCCUCGGAGGGAACACGCCGGUUCGAAUCCGGCCGGUCCCG